UUAAUUAAGCUCAGUAUCCCAAAGAGACUUUGAUAUUGUGAGGCUGUUGUUAUAACUCGUUCAUCGUUGUUUUUAUCUUCAACAUAUUUUUGCUGUCUAAGCAAAUUAAGAUGAAAGAGGAAACCAGGGAUCAGGAAUUAGAAAAUCUAAAGACAUCGUCUUCAUGGUGGAAGGAUUUUUAUUUUUUUUACACUGAGCAGCUGGCCACAUUUCUAUCAACAGUAAAAACUGGUGUGUUUCCAACACUAACUGCUUAAUAAACAUGAUUUCAUUUAAAAAUAAUUGGACAGAAUUUAUUCCCCUUGUUAAUCUACCAUUUGUCUCUCAUACAUUUUAUUCAUUGUUAGCUUUCAGGGCUCUGUGAUGGACUGGUGACCUGUCCAGGGUGAACUCUGCCUCUCAUCUGAUGACUGCUGGAGAUGGGCUUUUAAGGUAGCUUUUAAGGCAAAUAAAUCACUCAGAAAUGUUUUUUCACUCCGGUCCCAAUCAUCAUCAGUUCUGAUGAUGUCACAUACAUAGCGAGUCCACAACAUCCUGAAAUUGUUUCUGUAAAGUGCAGUGAAUGUGAAUGUUCUGUUGUUGAUCCUCACUGUUCAUAGGAAGGAGAAAUGUCAGUUUGUCUGCAGUAACACUGGAAUACUGUGACGUUGUAUUAAAACAAUAUUCUGUCCUUGGU